AGUAACGCGUGGGCAACCUGCCCCACACUGGGGGACAACAGCUGGAAACGGCUGCUAAUACCGCAUAAGCGCACAGCUUCGCAUGAAGCAGUGUGAAAAAUUCCGGUGGUGUGGGAUGGGCCCGCGUCUGAUUAGCUAGUUGGUGAGGUAACGGCUCACCAAGGCGACGAUCAGUAGCCGGCCUGAGAGGGUGGACGGCCACAUUGGGACUGAGACACGGCCCAGACUCCUACGGAAGGCAGCAG
rnacentral:rRNA from 1 species